ACACACAAGUUUCCCUCCUCAUUCACAACAAACGACAGUUAGUUUAUGUAAAAAAUAAGUCUUUUUUUUAACACUGGAUAAUUAUGCUAUUAAAAAAAUAUUACAGACGAUUCUACAGCCAACAAUUCUACCUGCCGUAUAAAAAUUUAUGUCUGACUGUAUCACCUGAACCGUUCUAUGAGAUCCGCGCUUGACGGUACUCUUUGCGACAUACUGCAGAUCUCUUGUCAGCCUCAUGUAAAAAAUAAGUCUAAUGGCAAAAAAAAUAGAGAAAUUACAUAUAAUAACUCUAAUCAUAUAUGUAAUUACUAGAUUAACUCUUAUAUUUUUGUAAUUACUAGAAUAAUACAGCUAUCAAGCAAAAAGACAUAAAAAUCCUUUAGCCAUUGAAAAUCAUUAAUAUAAUACAUGUUUUCAUAAAAAUAAAAUAAAAAUCCUUUUGUUUGUGAAAAACAGUUUUCGCCGUCCAAGACCACGAACGCUAAAUCACCUUCAUGCGACUUCUCCGUCAUCUCUACCCAAGGUUGUAAACUUCUUCUCCGUCAAAGUGAAUAUCAAACCUCACAAUCAUCAUCGGAGUUCUCUUGAUUCCUUUCCAAUAUAACACUAACCAUAAAUCCUGAAUCUCUACUAAUCAAAGUUUUUAUCCUUAGUUCACUACAUCUAUCGUUUGAUUUCAUGUUUGAUUUCGAAAACCCUAAUUACAUAAUCCAUUAUUCUGCCAAGAGGCUCGAUUGCAACUUUCUCAGGUGUUCUUAGGUUUUCAAUUGCACAGAGGCGGUAUCUAGAUUUGAAUUGAUCCUGCAAAGCCGGAAGACAAGGAAACAAAUAUUCCACUUUUUGGUGUUGAAGAUGAUAGAGUCAGUUUGCUUCCACCCAAGAAAUUCAAGACAAAACAGGAAGGAUAUAAAAUCAGAUUUUGAUUAUGAGGCCAAGGUUAAGACAUAGGGGAUCAAAUUCUCAAUUUCUCUCGUGUGGGUGAAACAGACUCAAGACAGGACAUGAGAAAGAGACUAAAACAAGCUCAAGACGGGACAUGAGCAGGAGUGUGUUGAGAUGGGGAUUGAGUUUCUUCUCUAUUGUAGUUGCACGGCUUGUAACAUUCAAAUCUUUCGCAUCUUGAAAUGAACAAAGGAAAUCAGAUACCUUAUUGUUCCUAAAAGUUUAUUGGCAUUGUAAAAAGUUUAAAUUGUAGAUCUCAUCAACGUCCUCUUUUGAGCACACAGUUGGUAUAAUAGAUCACAUCUGCAUCUUUUUUUGUUGACACCAACGGAAAAAACAAAUGCAAUGUUUUUGGCU